CCUACGGGGGGCUGCAGUUUCGAAUCAUUCACAAUGGGCGAAAGCCUGAUGGUGCGACGCCGCGUGAGGGAUGAAGGUCUUCGGAUUGUAAACCUCUGUCACUGGGGAGAAAACGCUUUGAGUUAAUAGUUCAAAGCCUGAUUUAACCCGGAGAGGAAGCAGUGGCUAACUCUGUGCCAGCAGCCGCGGUAAUACAGACGGUGCAAGCGGUCUUCGGAGGCACGCGGGCGGUUGGGUGCGUCAGCUGUGGAAUCCCGAGGCUUAACCUCGGAACUGCGUCUGAAACUACUCGACUAGAGUACUGGAGAGGGAAACGGAAUUCACGGUGUAGCAGUGAAAUGCGUAGAUAUCGUGAGGAACACCAGAGGCGAAGGCGGUUUCCUGGACAGUUACUGACGCUCAGGCACGAAAGCAUGGGGAGCAAAAGGGAUUAGAUACCCCUGUAGUC
rnacentral:rRNA from 1 species